rnacentral:rRNA from 1 species
GACGAACGCUGGCGGCGUGCCUAAUACAUGCAAGUAGAACGCACAGGAUGCACCGUAGUUUACUACACCGUAUUCUGUGAGUUGCGAACGGGUGAGUAACGCGUAGGUAACCUGCCUGGUAGCGGGGGAUAACUAUUGGAAACGAUAGCUAAUACCGCAUAAGAACAUUUACUGCAUGGUAGAUGUUUAAAAGGUGCAAAAGCAUCACUACCAGAUGGACCUGCGUUGUAUUAGCUAGUUGGUGAGGUAACGGCUCACCAAGGCAACGAUACAUAGCCGACCUGAGAGGGUGAUCGGCCACACUGGGACUGAGACACGGCCCAGACUCCUACGGGAGGCAGCAGUAGGGAAUCUUCGGCAAUGGGGGGAACCCUGACCGAGCAACGCCGCGUGAGUGAAGAAGGUUUUCGGAUCGUAAAGCUCUGUUGUUAAGGAAGAACGUGUGUGAGAGUGGAAAGUUCACACAGUGACGGUACUUAACCAGAAAGGGACG